GUGUACCAGGCGCAGACGCAGGUUCCUCUACGCCGUCCGCACCCCCCUGACGACCGCUCGCGGCGUAUUGGUAGCC
rnacentral:sRNA from 1 species